CAAUCUUGGGAAUGUUAAUGACUACGUAUAUUCGAAAUUUUAUCCGAAUUCAAACCCAAAUGUGACAGAUUUAUUCGAUACUGAACGAAUAUGAUUUCGAGUAUGAGUAGAAAAUAUUUUAUAAAAAAAACUGAUGAAUUUGGAUUCGAUAUGGAUUUUGUAUCUACCCCCUGUUAGUAAAUUCACGAAUAAUUCGCGAAUUAUUCGCGAAUUUUUGAAUAAACAAAUUAAACAACCAUUUUCGUAUUUUUUCAAAAAAAUCGAGAAAAAACACAUUUUUUUCGUCAAAAAAAAUUAUUCGCGAAUGAUUCGCUCAAAAAAACGGGCCU
rnacentral:lncRNA from 1 species